rnacentral:lncRNA from 10 species
CAAUUGUAUAAUAGAACUACAGUUCUAAUUUUUUGUGGCCAAAGUAAUCAUAUCUGACACAUAACUUUAUAGUUUAUGAUGAAUUUUCAUAUGGGAUCUAAUUGAACCAUCCCAAUCUUGGUAUUCAGGUAGAGAUAAUAUUAUAAUCUCUAUUUUACAGAUUAGGAAACUGAGGCUCAGAGAGAAAAAGUGACUUGUCCAAGAUGAGCAACCACGACCCAAACAAAAGAUUCUUGAGUGAAGCCCAGCACCCUGUUUCUUCAGUUAUUCAAAUCAUAUGGUUGCUCAGCUACUUAAAGCUACUUUCUAUGUACUUCACAGUUGUUAUUUAAUUCCCUGUGACAUUAAGAACACAGUUGUCAUUUAAUUCUCUGUGACAUUAAAGAGAGACUAAUUUCCAAAGAAAAAAAAUUAAUAUUCACAAAGCCAAAUGGGAGAAAAAAAUGCCUACUUCUGGUCUAUGGGAACUGCUUAGUUUGCUGUACCUUCAAACCUGUUUCUGAGUGUUGCCAAUGGAAGAGUGGAAGAUGGGGAAACAUGGAAAGGGUGGUGGUUAAGGAGGGCCCAGGGAGCCUCUGCAGCCCUCCUUAUUCUUUUUCUCUGUACCUGAGCCCAGUUCUCCCACCUGGCAUGGCUCUACAACCAUGAAACCCUGAUGCCCUCACAUGCAUAAGAAGCCCUGACAAAGUGGAUGUGGAUAUUUCUCUCACUCUGCAAAAUGAGACUCACGAUGACCUGCAAUGUGAUGCUUCUUUGGGCCAAAAAAAAAAAAAAAAAAAAAAAAAACACAAAAAACCACCCAAUUGCUUUCAGGUUGCCUGACUCACAGGGCACCUUGAUGCUCUGGCCAGGGACACUGAAGACUGAAUCACCUAGCUUGCCUUUGCAGAAACUAUUUACUAAUAUGUCAUUUCAUUUCUGUCUUUUUCCAACCUUAAGCUUUAUGUGCCCCUCAUCCACAGCAUGUCCUUGCCGCCCAUGCCUCUACUCCCAUGCAUAAAAGGAGGCGUAGGCAAAUGUACAUGGAAGUCUCUUUUCAACCUCUGCAGGGGAUUGUAGGUGAAAUAUACUAUUGCCCACACUUAUGUACAAGGAUACCCUAUGAUAAGCAUUACUGGGAUUAAGAAAUAUUGAGCGGUAUUUCUAUCUCUGAAAUUCUAUUGUCUCUCCCACUUAGAGAAGACUAUUACAAGUCAGCUACGAUAGGACUUUUUUUCUCCAAAGUUGUGACAUUGGAAAUCAGGACUCCCCUUACAAACCCAGGUAGCUGAUUUGUUUAAAGGACACAUAGUAUUUUCCUAGAGAAUUGGAGCAAGAACAACAGGGUAGAAGCCCUGCAGACCUGUUUGAGUGCAGAAGACACGGACAAAGCAUAUCCGUGUUCCCAUCCACUGAACAGGCAGCAGCUAAUAAUGUAAUGAAUUCUCUUCUGUCAUCCUAAGCUUUUGGUUGUCGUUGAAGUACUCUUCUGAACUCCACCUAUUAUCAUUUAAUGAGUGUUUGCUAUGUUUCCAGCUCUGUGCUUUUUUUUACAUCUGCUAUUCAUUCUCUUUCCAAAGCUGUAGCCCCACGGUCUCAUAGUUAAAUAAUUCAGAUGUUUUGAGUUAAAUAGGUUUUUACAACAAGACUUUUCAGAGCUAGUGGAAGGUCCAUGUGUGUAGUGAAUCUUUGGGAAGAUUUAUUUGGUAUAUAUUAUUUCCCAGAUUUUUUCAAGGGCGUCUCAUAAGACAUGUUUAGUUCAGAAGAUGCUACUGAGGUCUCAGAGACUGCUAUCUCUUUCUCUGUUAUGAGUUGAGUUGUGUCUUCUUAAAAAAGACAUGUUGAGGUCCAUACACUUUAGAGUGCGACCUUUUUUGGAAAUACAGGCUUCACAGAGGUAAUCAAGUUAAAACGAAGUCAUUAGAGUGAGCCUUAAUCCAACAUGACUGGUGUCCUUAUAAAAAGGAAGAAAUUUGGACAGAGAGGCAGACAUGAGGGAUGACAAUGUGAGGAGACACAGGGAGAAGAUGACCAUCUACAAGCCAAGGAAUGUCUGACGUUUCCCGGAGCUAGGAGAGAGGUCUGUAACUGAUCCUUUCCCAGUGCCUUCAGAGGGAGCAUGAGCCUGCUGACACGAUUUCAGACUUCUGGCCUCCAGAAACAUGAGACAAUAUAUUUCUGUUUUUCUAAGCUACCUACCAGUUUGUCGGACUUUGUUUUGGCAGCCCUAGGAAACUCAUAUGUUCUUCUAGCUGGGUGGUGGGUAAAUCAGGCUCAGUUUCUCCCCUCUUUACUUCUUUAUUUUAAAAAAUAUAUUGGAAAACUUCUAUCAUAAGUAUAAAAUUAACAAAAAUUUAUCUCCUUUUCCAUUGUAAUAGAAGUAUCCAUUUUUAUCUAGGCAAAUAGCCAGCUACAUUAGAAACAAACUUUUCCCGCAAAAGACCACAGAAUAAAUAUUUCAGGCUUUGUGUGACAUGUAGUCUCUGUCAACUGUUCAGCUCUGCCAUUAUAGGGGAAAAGCAACCAUACACAACAUGUAAACAAAACAGUGUUGCUGUAUUCCCAUAAAAUUCCAUUGACAAAGCAGGCAGCAGACCAGAUUUGUCCCGUGGGCCAUAGUUUGCUGACCCCGGAUUACUGAGCACCUACUAUAUGCCAGGCACUAUUUUAGAAGUUGGCAAUGCAAUAGUGAGCAACACAGUCAAGGUCUCUGCUCUCACAGAGCCUGGAAAAUCUUGUUCACAGCUGUGUCCUCAGCACCUUGUGCAGUGCAUGACAUGCAAUGAACAAUCCAUAAAUACUGAAUCAGUGAGUGACUGGAAGUCCCCCAGGCAGGAAGAGAUGAGCCAAACCUUGAGAGUGCUAGGCUAGAGGAAAACUCUGGGAACCUUGGGAUGCUAACUAACACAAAACAAAAGAAGCUCCACUAGCAGUUUGAUUCCUUGACAACAAACAAACAAACAAACAAACAAAAAUCAAUGUGUUCUCAUACGCACCGAAUGCACCAAAAGACAUGUACAAAAAUGACCACAGCAGCAUAUUUCCUAAGAUCCCUGAAAACAGCUAAGAUCCCUGAAAGCAACUCAAAUGUCCAUCAAUAGAAUGAUGGAUAUUAUUCUACCCCAUUGAAACAUUUCACACACAAGUUUUGUGUUUUAUUUUUAUUUAUUUAUUUAUUUAUUUUUCAUGUCAAUGAAUUCAAAGGAAUCACACAUAGGUUUUUGUAUAGAAACAGCACUACAUUUCUGUAAGAGGUGCUUUUUCAAGAUAUCUAUGUUCACUAGUUGUAGCCUACAACUAGAAGGCUCUGUGUCAAACAUUCCACUUGCUACUAAUUCCUACCAUACCCCUCUUUGUUCCCAGAACAUUGUACCCCACAUGUACCCCAGAACUUAAAAGUAUAAAAAAAAAAUAAAAAAUAAAAAAUAAAAAAAAUAAUGAAAAAACUUAAAAAAGAAGAAACGAAAACAAAAAGAAAAGGAAUGGUGAGAGGAGAUAACUUUGCUUUGUACACAGUCUUAGUGGGAAAGUUUCUAGUUCCUCACCUUUAAGUAUUACGUUAGCUACUUUUUCAUAGAUGUUCUUCAUCAAGUUGAGGAAGUUCUCCUCUAUUUCCAGCUUGCUGGGAGUUUUUAUCAUUAAUGAGUGUUGAAUUUUGUCAAAUACUUUUUCUAUAUCUAGUGAU